GGGGUUGUAGCUUAGUGGUAGAGCAUUUGUGUAGCACACAUGAGGCACUGGGUUCAAUCCCCAGCACCACA
rnacentral:tRNA from 1 species